rnacentral:lncRNA from 1 species
UCAGUUGUAGUCUAGAAAGAGAAGCUGCUUAGGUUCACUUACAUUUUUGUUAACUUUCCUUGAUGAGAUGACUCUUUCCUUGAGUGACUAAGCUAAUCUAUUUUUGUUGUGCCAACUUAUUUUAUACUAUUUUCUUUUUUUUAUAACUAAAGAUCCUUUGGCUAUAGAACUGGACUGAAAAUAAACCAAUAGAAAAAUUGAAACUGUGUCCCAAAUUCACACAUUAUAUACUUCUGUGUUUUACAAAGAAGGUUGAAGUUUUCAGCUCUGCGAGAGAAAGGUAGGGGUGCUGGCCUCAUA